rnacentral:rRNA from 1 species
GCGUGCCUAACUGCAAGUCGAGCGAGAAAGCUCCUUCGGGAGUUAGUAAAGCGGCGGACGGUUGAGUAACACGUGAGAAUCUACCCUUUAGUGAAGAGUACCUCCGAGAAAUCGGAGUUAAUACUGCAUACGUCCCUUCGGGGAGAAAGGUGGCCUAAUUUGCUGCCGCUAAAGGAUGAGCUUGCGGGCUAUCAGCUUGUUGGUGAGGUAAAGGCUCACCAAGGCUAUGACGGCUAGCCGGCCUGAGAGGGUGUACGGCCAGACUGGAACUUAGACACGGUCCAGACUCCUACGGGAGGCAGCAGUGAGGAAUCUUGCACAAUGGGCGAAAGCCUGAUGCAGCGACGCCGCGUGAAGGAUGAAGGUUUUCGGAUCGUAAACUUCUGUUAAGUGGGAAGAAACGCCUAUUGUUAAUAUCAAUAGGAACUGACUGUACCAUUAUAGAAAGCACCGGCUAACUACGUGCCAGCAGCCGCGGUAAUACGUAGGGUGCGAGCGUUAUUCGGAAUUACUGGGCGUACAGGGUGCGUAGACGGCUCAUUAAGUCGAUUGUUAAAUUUCCCGGCCUAACCGGGAACAUGCGGUCGAUACUGUUGAGCUAGAGGGUGGAAGAGAGAAGUGGAAUUCUCGGAGUAGCGGUAAAAUGCGUAGAUAUCGAGAGGAACACCAAUGGCGAAGGCAGCUUCUUAGUCCAUUCCUGACGUUGAGGCACGAAAGCGUGGGGAGCAACAGGAUUAGAUC